rnacentral:rRNA from 1 species
AGCAGUAGCCGCGGUAAUACGUAGGGUGCGAGCGUUAAUCGGAAUUACUGGGCGUAAAGCGUGCGCAGGCGGUUAUAUAAGACAGAUGUGAAAUCCCCGGGCUCAACCUGGGACCUGCAUUUGUGACUGUAUAGCUAGAGUACGGUAGAGGGGGAUGGAAUUCCGCGUGUAGCAGUGAAAUGCGUAGAUAUGCGGAGGAACACCGAUGGCGAAGGCAAUCCCCUGGACCUGUACUGACGCUCAUGCACGAAAGCGUGGGGAGCAAACAGGAUUAGAUACCCCUGUAGUCCCUGUCUCUUAUAC